rnacentral:rRNA from 1 species
UACGUAGGGGGCAAGCGUUGUCCGGAAUCAUUGGGCGUAAAGCGCGUGUAGGCGGUUCGGUAAGUCGGCUGUGAAAGUCCAGGGCUCAACCCCUGGGAUGCCGGUCGAUACUGCCGGACUAGAGUUCGGAAGAGGCGAGUGGGAAUUCCCGGUGUAGCGGUGAAAUGCGCAGAUAUCGGGAGGAACACCAAUGGCGAAGGCAGCUCGCUGGGACGUUACUGACGCUGAGACGCGAAAGCGUGGGGAGCAAACAGGG